AUGGAUGUACCAAGAAGAUCCGGCCACCUCCUCUUUGGAUCUACAGUUUUCGGAGCAAAAGUCGUUGGAUCUGCAAGUUUUUUGGUGCGGUGUUCUACUCACCAUGCCCGUCAGGAUCCGCCAAGGUCUCCUCCUCCUGGUAGCCAUGCCGAGACGAACUCAGUUUCCUCUUUCUUUCUUUCUUUCUUUCCAAGAGGAAGAGGAAGGAAACUGGCCAUAGCCCAGCACAAUUUCACCCGCCGACCAAGGCCCAGUACAAUCUCGCCCGCCGACCAAGGCCCAGCACAAUCUCGCCCGCCGAAGGCCCAGCACCAUUUCGCCCGCGGACCAAGGCCCAGCACCAUUUCGCGCGCACUAAGGCCCAGGCGUCCCCCACCGACCAAGGGAUGGCCGGGCACGACUACCCAGUUCCACGGCGCCGCCCACCCGACCCGACUCAUUUCGCUACUUCCCCUCCCCGACCCCUCCACCAUCCCCAUCCCCAUCCCCAUCCAGAACCCUAGCUCCGCCUCCUCCACCGCCGCACCUCCUACCGCUGCCGCCGCGGACCAGGGAGGACAGGCAGACCCCCAUGGCUACCAGGAGGACACCUUCGCGGAUCGUGAGGAUUGGGACAGGUAUCGCGCGGAUGAGGAUGUUCUGCCAGGAAACGCGCCGUUGAACUCUUUCCUCGCGAGGAUCGCACGAGGGUUGGCCGCCAAAUCGCGCCAAGGAAGGCAGAUUGGACAGAACGUAUUGAACUUCUUCAAAGCUGUGGACAAGGACUGCACCAACAUCUCAAGAGAAGAAUUUCUUGAUUUCAAGACUUCCCUCGAGCACAGCUUGAAAGAAGUCAAGGCUGCUGUUGAGAAAUCUGCCAAAGAACAGAAAAUGUUUAUCGAGGCCAGCACUACAGCAAACUCUGAGUUGAUGCAAAGGGCCCUGCACCGCCUAGAGGUACUCUCGCAAGAUAUCAAGGCUGUUGUUGAUGCUGGCGUCAAGUCCCAGGAAGCAAGCACUGAUACUGCCGAGAAAAUUUUCAACCUCAUGAAUGAGAUGGCGGCCACACUAAAAGAGGCCCCCCCUCAAAGGCCGGUGAUCUUCUUGGCAGGCUGGAGAAGCUUGCUUUCUGGCCAAAGAAGGUUAACAACAUGUGUGAGCUUGUCUCUGACUAUGCAACAGUAA
rnacentral:rRNA from 1 species